GCUCUUGUGAAACCUUGCAAAAUUUCUGGCAUGUGGAUAAAAGUUGGUAUACAGUAUUAAAAUGUUCAACUUGACUUCAUGUCCCACUUGCACACAUAUUAGAUAAUCAUAUUACACUUACAAAUUGUAAUCCUUUCAAAACAUUUAAACAGUGUUCAUUAGUUGACGAUCGUAUUGUAUGAUUUUGCUCCAAGAGCAGUUUCUUAGGAUAUUUUUUUUUUUUUUUUUUUUGCUUUUUCUUUCUUUUUCUUCUAAAUAAAUUUUCGGUAUGUGAAAAUGUCUCUGUUUGUUUAGGGAUUUAAUUUCUAAAAGAGGAACACAUGAAAUAGGAAAGUUAUUAAAUGUUAAAUUUCAAACAAAAACAUAAAAAGACAGUGAUGUAGGAAUGUAAAAAAAAAAUUGUUCUUGAAUGGCAGUUAUGAAAUAGAAUUGAAAUCCACUUCACAUGCCUUUGUACGAAUUUCUAAAUGUUGAUUUAAUUCACAUAUGUUCUGUAUCUCCUUAAACAUUUAUGAAAAAAACAAGAAUGAUUGUAUACAUACAGCUUUUAUAAAUAAAUAACAAUAGUGUAUUUGAAUAGUUUUGGUAUGAUUUCUGUCUUUAGUUGGUAUUCUUGCUUAUUUGGUAUAUACAGUGUAUAUAAUGUUUUUCUAUGAAAUUUUACCUCAUUUGGUUUGGCGUCCUUUACAAAUCAAUGGCAUUUUGUAUUUGGAGUGUACUUAUUCAGGUAAAUUUUACUUGUAGCUGGAAUCAUUCAAAUUUGCUGGGGCCAAAUUGUAUGGAUAGUUUAAACUUUCAGGUUUUGAGAAUCAUAUUUUUAUGAUUUAAAAAUUCUAAUCUUUCAAGUCAAUAAGCGUAUGUAAAUUGUGACUGUUCUACAAUCACUGAUAAUGUUGAUGAAAAUAAAUCCUGAAAUUCAUAAUUACUAGUAUAUAUAUGUAUAUAGUAUUUUAAUACUUUAAUUUUCCAUGAUGUCUUUACGGAAUCUGAUUUGAAUUUUGAUAUCCAUAUUAUAUCCAAAGUCAAAUACUUGGCUGGAUUAAGUAAGCACAUGAAAAAAUAUAUGGCCAAAUGAUUAGCAAAUGAUUAGCAAGUUUUAGAUAUUGAAAGGCACAAUAUACCUAUGGCUAUAUAAAUAACUCUUAUUUGGUAACUUGCGAUUAUCAAUCAAUGACAAAACUGACAAGUUAUAUCAUUUGCUUACUUUCAAAUUCUGCUUUGCAGGGCACUAUGCUGAACUUGUUCACAAAUCAAAAACUGACGAUUUAGGUGGUUUUUAUUGUGGUUAAAUUUGGUUCAUUCGUAACUGUGUUGGUUCAAAAAAUUUCAGCUGUCCAUGAUUUUGUGUAGUAAGGGGGAAAAAAACCUUCAGUCCAAUUUUACUUUUUUUUAUUUACUUAAGAUCGUGUACAAUGUACAUUGUCGUAUGUAUAAUUUUACAUUUUCGUAGAUCUUUGAGAGCUAGAGGAAUUAUACUUGUGCACAUACUUAAUUAGUAAUAUGUUUGAUAUUAAUUAUAUCAUCAAAUGGUUGAAAUGCAGGAAUAAAUGUGAAA
rnacentral:sRNA from 1 species